CUUCUAGGAUGGUGCACCGAUUCAGACAACUGGAUGCAAAGGUACUUCUGUCCCAGAUUGCUCCGGGGAAUAUGAUUCUCUCUGGUAAAGCAGGGGGUGUGCCAUGGCAAGGAAAAUGAGCCUCCCAGAGUCGUGUGCAGUCUGUGUCACUGUCACCAGGGCCCCAUUUUAAUUGAGCUUUUUUACCGUGCUCUUUUGAUUCCACAGAUAGGAGUGUGUAGGGCGUGUAGUGAUUAGGACAGAAGGGAAUGGUUUUGAACUGAGAGUAGGAUUAGAUGGGAUAAUGGGAAAAAAUUCUUGGCUGUGAGUUUGGGCCCACCCUGGCACAGGGUACCCAGAGAAGCUGUGGCUGCCCCUGGAUCCCUGGAAGUAUCAAAAGCCAGGCUGGAUGGGGUUGGAGCAGCCAACAAUGAGCUGUGAGGUCCCUUCCAAGCCACAAGAGCUUUAUAUGAUGCAGGAAAAUGAAACAAAGACACUUGCUUAGCACUGGAGGAGUGUUUCUCAAUAUUCCUUGUGGGAUGGAAUAAAACGAAGUAAUUUACAUCUUAAACUGCAACAUUCAGCUGUAUAACAGGUCCAUGAAAUGCCAGUGGGAAGAAGGGAUGUCACACACUUGACAUGUCCCCAUCGCAAAGGUGUCUGUCAAGUUUAGCUUCUGGUGGUGUUGGCCUGGUGUAAUUAAGCAAUAUAAGGCUACCCAUCUACCAGAGAGCACAUUAUGAGAAUUGCCAUGCAAAUAAUCUUUUUAUGACUGUGAUGUUGAAAUGGGUAUGUGUGUUCACAGUGGGUAUUUUCUGAGGCUUGACUGAAUUAUCUGUUUGGCCUCUGAAGUGAGAAGUGGCUUUGGUAUGAAGCAAAGACUUUUCCAGAAGCUCAGGUGAAAAGACCCACAUAUACUUCAGAGUACUUUUUUUUUUGUUACUGUCAAAUAAUUUAGAUUGCAAAAUAAUAGCUUGCUUCCAGACUGAAAGGGAAGUGGUGAGUGAGUCUGUGGCUAGUGAUGCUUUUCUUGAAACUGAAAGGAGAUCUGCUAACCUUAAUUCUCUCCUGAAAAGAAAUACCCAUCUCUUGCUUCUCUCUUCUGGUAACUGCUGGUUAACUCUCUGAAAUAGAGGCAUCAGGACUCGCUGCAUUAAUUGCCCUGAUGAACACUGUACUUGGGACUGUCCUCUCAAGCACUCUUGCAUUUGGUGUAAUACUUGCAGAGGCAAUUACUUGUUACUUUCAUUGCUCAUUAGCAUUGCAUUCCUUCAGCUAGAUGGACUUUACAAAAAUAACCUCCUCCUUUUUUUUUUUUUUUUUUUUUUUUUAAGCUCUCUGAUUUGAAGGGCUUUCUGAAAGAGAUUUCCAGUAAAAUUAAAUGAGUGGAGCUGAAAUUCAAGAGCAGCUACUGGAGCAGGGUACCAAUUAAUGAAGAAUAAUUGCUCGGAGCUGGCAGCAACCCCCAAGCAGAUGGUAACAGAGGCACCAGAGUAUCAAUGUCUCAGCAGGAGUCAGCAGGAUUUUCUUGCAAUUUUUAUUUUUGUUGAUCAAACAGUCCUUUCUCCUUGUUGCAAGGUUGUGGUGAAACUGGAGAUGACUGCUUAUCUCCUGACAUGAUUCCUGCCCAAACUCUUCUCAUCUGCCCUAAGGUCCAGUGGCAGCAAUUAGUCCUUGUUAAGCUGCUGUUGCAAAUCACUCCUAUUUCCAAGAGUUCUGCUGCUGUUGCCAAAAUCCCUUUGCUUUUCCAUUUCACUUGGAGGGACCUGUGCGUGGCUUUCCUUCAAGCACUAAUUGCAUGUCUGAAUGAAUCAAUCUCCCUUCCUGUUCUGCCCUGUAGUAGCUGGAUCUUGCUUGUUCCUUGCACGGGCUGUCAGACCUGCUGGGGUCUGGAAUGCUGGUGUGCCAGAAUGCAGUGCAUUUCAGCAUCAUCCCCCCAAGGAAAGCCUUUGGUCCAACCCUGCAUCCCUAUUUCAGACUGUAAAGGAACAUUGUGGACUUGUUCCCCCUCUACCCGGAACCUUUCAGCAGUGCAGAAGCUCAGCUAUUACAGCCCUGCAUGGGAGAGACAUUAAUUCAUCUAGGAACUGUUUCUAAGGCUUUGUGGGCAAUCCUUCCUUGGUUUCAGUCAUGAAAAUUUGUAUUCUGGGAAUGUUGGAAUUCAUUUGACUUUUCCAAUGUGUUUGCUGAUCUUUGCAGCUGGAAAUGGAAAAGAGAUUGUUGGAACCUUUAAAUAGAGCAGUGCUUGAUAUGGUCAGGUGGUGCUUUCUGUCUAAAAUAGCAGCUGAAUUCUGUCACUUUUUUUUUUUUUUUUUUUUGUAUAACUGAGAGCAUAGCCAACUGAAGGCACUACAAAUAGCAUUUAUUUACAUGGCAAAGCAUUGUAUCAACCUUCCUUCCCAGUGUCUUGGAAUCAUGGAAUCACAGACUCACCAGAGGAAAGGACCUGCAAGGAUCAUGGAGUCCAACCCCUGGCCCUGCACAGACACCCCAACAAUCCUAUCCUAUGCAUCCCUGAGAGCAUUGUUCAAAUGUUCCUUGGGCUCUGUCAGCCUGGGGCUUUGCCCAUUCCCUGGGGGAGUCUGGUCAGUGCCCCAGCACCAUCUGGGAGAAGAACCUUUUCCUAAAAUUCCACCUUACCCUGCCCUGACACAGCUCCAGCCGCUCCCUCAGGUGCUGUCCCUGUCACAGAGAGCAGAGAUUGGAGCUGUCCUUUGGGACAGAGCUGCCAGCCAUGCUGAGACCUCCUCCUCUUCUCCAAGCUGAACAAGCCAAUUGACCUCAGCUGUUCCUCAUACAGCUUCCUCUCCUGGCCCCUCAUCAUCUUCAUUCCCCUCUUUGGAUACUCUCUGCAGGCCUUAUAUCCUUAUGAUACAUUCAGAGAGGUUGCUGCUCUUUUCUCCCUGCAUUUCAUCACCCAACUGUACUGUAUGCUGUGCAUGACAUCAUCCUGGGGUCUCCAGCACUAACAAUAGCAGUGGUAUCUGUUUUCAUGUGGAAAUAUUUCCUGCUGAAAAGUAAAGGAGCCAGGCUUUCACUGAUUCACAUGGCAGUUAGCUGCAUCAUAAAUUCUUGAGAUAAGGUUCCUUUCUGGAAAUUAUUUUUCCCAUAUCAUUUGUCUGCCUUGGAUGUGAAAAUUGUGCUUUUUGUUCACUCCCUUCCUAUAUAAAACCUGUGGAAUGCUUUCAACCCUUCCGGGAAAUCCCAAGGGCCUUGCCUUGGAAGAAUAUACAAUAGUCUCCACCUAGGCUUAAAGAGAAGACUUCUGCCAUGGAGCCUUGCAACACCAGGAUCCACCCCCGUUCCUUUCCCCGUGUCCCAAAUUCUUGCAGUUUUUCCUUUCCCUGUUUCCUCAUUGGUCCUUGGUCGUGGUAUCCCUGGUGGCUGGCCCCGUCUUCCCUGUAGGCCAAUGCCCUUUGCCCUGCCCUUUGUGCUGCCCCCGUGCCCUCAGACCAUUGGCCACUGACCCCUGCUUAACCUUGUGCAGAGCACAUGGCCAGGUCUUUGUCCCUGAUCCCUUCAGCCUGGUGGAUGCAAUAAACCUUUGCUGGAAUACAUCAUAAA